AGCAGUGCCGCGGGAAUACGUAGGGUGCAAGCGUUAAUCGGAAUUACUGGGCGUAAAGCGUGCGCAGGCGGUGUUGUAAGACUGAUGUGAAAUCCCCGGGCUCAACCUGGGAACUGCAUUGGUGACUGCAACGCUGGAGUGCGGCAGAGGGGGAUGGAAUUCCGCGUGUAGCAGUGAAAUGCGUAGAUAUGCGGAGGAACACCGAUAGCGAAGGCAAUCCCCUGGGCCUGCACUGACGCUCAUGCACGAAAGCGUGGGGAGCAAACAGGAUUAGAUACCCGAGUAGUCCCUGUCUCUUAUACA
rnacentral:rRNA from 1 species